rnacentral:rRNA from 1 species
UACGUAGGGGGCGAGCGUUGUCCGGAGUUACUGGGCGUAAAGGGCAUGCAGGCGGUCCGACACGUUUUGUGUGACAGCGGGUGGCUUAACUACCCGAGGAUGCGAAAGACGGUUGGACUUGAGGACUCGAGAGGGACACGGAAUUCCGGGUGGAGUGGUGAAAUGCGUAGAGAUCCGGAGGAACACCGAAGGCGAAGGCAGUGUCCUGGGGAGCACCUGACGCUCAGAUGCGAAAGCCAGGGGAGCGAACGGG